AGGGCCUAUUCACGUUUCCUGGAGACGCCGGAGGUGCCCAGCUUGUGCUCACCACUCAAGCAGCUCUCCCCUUGCUGGAGGUACCGAAUUGGCAUGGAUUUGACAAUUAGCGAUUCACGGUUAAGCAGACUUUAUCUAUCUUAAUCCAAUCAAAGGAGAAUUUCUGCCUGCUGUGUUUGGAGAGACAACGCGUGGAUGUGAGUUAAACUUUGUUAAACCCAGGACAAGCUUUAAGAUAAAACGACUGAUAUUUAAAAUGGCAAUUUAAAUAAAAAUGUUCUCUGAUCAGCCUUUUUGUGGUCUUAACCAUGAAAUGUCUU
rnacentral:lncRNA from 1 species